rnacentral:rRNA from 1 species
CGCAAGCCUGACGGAGCAACGCCGCGUGAGGGAUGAAGGCCUCUGGGCUGUAAACUUCUUUUAUCAAGGAAGAAGAUCUGACGGUACUUGAUGAAUAAGCCACGGCUAAUUCCGUGCCAGCAGCUGCGGUAAUACGGGAGUGGCAAGCGUUAUCCGGAAUUAUUGGGCGUAAAGCGUCCGCAGGCGGUCUUGUAAGUCUGUCGUUAAAACGUGGAGCUUAACUCCAUUUCGGCGGUGGAAACUACAAGACUAGAGUGUGGUAGGGGCAGAGGGAAUUCCCGGUGUAGCGGUGAAAUGCGUAGAUAUCGGGAAGAACACCAGUGGCGAAAGCGCUCUGCUGGGCCAUAACUGACGCUCAUGGACGAAAGCCAGGGGAGCGAAAG